rnacentral:rRNA from 1 species
GAGUUUGAUCAUGGCUCAGGAUGAACGCUGGCGGUAUGCCUAACACAUGCAAGUCGUACGAGAGUUUUUAACUCUAGUGGCGGACGGGUGAGUAACACGUGAGAAUUUGCCUUUAGGAGGGGGAUAACAAUUGGAAACGAAUGCUAAUACCCCAUAUGCUUUCGAGUGAAAUGGAUUUAUAUUUAUCCGCCUAGAGAGAAGCUCGCGGCUGAUUAGCUUGUUGGUAAGGUAAGAGCUUACCAAGGCGACGAUCAGUAUCUGGUUUGAGAGGACGAUCAGACACACUGGAACUGAGACACGGUCCAGACUCCUACGGGAGGCAGCAGUGGGGAAUUUUCCGCAAUGGGCGAAAGCCUGACGGAGCAAUACCGCGUGAGGGAAGACUGCCUAUGGGUUGUAAAC